CUAAUACAUGCAAGUCGAGCGGACAGAUGGGAGCUUGCUCCNUGAUGUUAGCGGCGGACGGGUGAGUAACACGUGGGUAACCUGCCUGUAAGACUGGGAUAANUCCGGGAAACCGGGGCUAAUACCGGAUGGUUGUUUGAACCGCAUGGUUCAGACAUAAAAGGUGGCUUCGGCUACCACUUACAGAUGGACCCGCGGCGCAUUAGCUAGUUGGUGAGGUAACGGCUCACCAAGGCGACGAUGCGUAGCCGACCUGAGAGGGUGAUCGGCCACACUGGGACUGAGACACGGCCCAGACUCCUACGGGAGGCAGCAGUAGGGAAUCUUCCGCAAUGGACGAAAGUCUGACGGAGCAACGCCGCGUGAGUGAUGAAGGUUUUCGGAUCGUAAAGCUCUGUUGUUAGGGAAGAACAAGUGCCGUUCAAAUAGGGCGGCACCUUGACGGUACCUAACCAGAAAGCCACGGCUAACUACGUGCCAGCAGCCGCGGUAAUACGUAGGUGGCAAGCGUUGUCCGGAAUUAUUGGGCGUAAAGGGCUCGCAGGCGGUUUCUUAAGUCUGAUGUGAAAGCCCCCGGCUCAACCGGGGAGGGUCAUUGGAAACUGGGGAACUUGAGUGCAGAAGAGGAGAGUGGAAUUCCACGUGUAGCGGUGAAAUGCGUAGAGAUGUGGAGGAACACCAGUGGCGAAGGCGACUCUCUGGUCUGUAACUGACGCUGAGGAGCGAAAGCGUGGGGAGCGAACAGGAUUAGAUACCCUGGUAGUCCACGCCGUAAACGAUGAGUGCUAAGUGUUAGGGGGUUUCCGCCCCUUAGUGCUGCAGCUAACGCAUUAAGCACUCCGCCUGGGGAGUACGGUCGCAAGACUGAAACUCAAAGGAAUUGACGGGGGCCCGCACAAGCGGUGGAGCAUGUGGUUUAAUUCGAAGCAACGCGAAGAACCUUACCAGGUCUUGACAUCCUCUGACAAUCCUAGAGAUAGGACGUCCCCUUCGGGGGCAGAGUGACAGGUGGUGCAUGGUUGUCGUCAGCUCGUGUCGUGAGAUGUUGGGUUAAGUCCCGCAACGAGCGCAACCCUUGAUCUUAGUUGCCAGCAUUCAGUUGGGCACUCUAAGGUGACUGCCGGUGACAAACCGGANGAAGGUGGGGAUGACGUCAAAUCAUCAUGCCCCUUAUGACCUGGGCUACACACGUGCUACAAUGGACAGAACAAAGGGCAGCGAAACCGCGAGGUUAAGCCAAUCCCACAANUCUGUUCUCAGUUCGGAUCGCA
rnacentral:rRNA from 1 species